UACGGAGGGCGCUAGCGUUGUUCGGAAUUACUGGGCGUAAAGGGCUCGUAGGCGGCCAACUAAGUCAGACGUGAAAUCCCUCGGCUUAACCGGGGAACUGCGUCUGAUACUGGAUGGCUGGAGUUUGGGAGAGGGAUGCGGAAUUCCAGGUGUAGCGGUGAAAUGCGUAGAUAUCUGGAGGAACACCGGUGGCGAAGGCGGCAUCCUGGACCAACACUGACGCUGAGGAGCGAAAGCCAGGGGAGCAAACGGG
rnacentral:rRNA from 1 species